UUAAUUUUUAGGGCAGCAUUUACGCUGAAGAGCAGUCCUGCCAGUCUGCCGCUGAGAGGUCUGUGAUAGUGAUUUGAAAUGGAGGAAGAAGGUCAAGCAUGGUUAGAAGUGAGCAUACUAAUGACUAGGUUCCAACUCAAAUGUUAAUACUAAACUCUAGGGUUGUUCUCCCGGUUCAAUGAAACAGAAGAUGCUCCAUUUCAGUUUAGUAAUACUUAAAAUGAGUAAGUAGUUUCACUGCUUAAGCAAACAAAUGGAAGCAACUCGGGGGAAAAACACCCCCUUCCUGGUAACUGAGACAGGAUGAUAGUAUUCAGGCAUAAUUCCAAUUUAUGUCAAACAACUUGCGACCAUCCUCUUGAGUGGUUUUGUAAAAGUGGUGCUAAUGUGUAUAACCCUUCUAAAUUUUUCUUUUUUCCCUUUAACAUUUGUUUACCCCUUCACUGUGUCAGUCACAACACACCGCUCUUGAAUCUCCCAGCUGGUCUUGACUUGUUGAAUUUAUUUUAUGCUUUCACUCUUCUUUAAUAAAUACAUUACUUGCAAGCAGUGAAUUGAAAACAAAGCAAAAGAAAAACUACCAUUAGUGAUUGGACAGUUUCUUACUUUGUGUUACAUUUAACUGUUCUUUUGACAGCCCAGUUUUUAAAGCCAGGAUAAUAUUGGACACCGCUUACUCCAGAAACAUGGGUGGAAGCUGGGCCAGGGAUUGGGAAAGUCACUGCAGGCGUUAUGAUCCUGGACUUGUUGUGGUGAUGGUAAACUUAGCAGUGGUAAUUUUUUAUUUUCAGACUGAAUUACUCCUUUUGUCAUCAGUGCACCAAUAUGUUAGGCUUACUUUCUCUGUUGUAGCCAUCAUCCUUCUGCUUGGUCUUUCAUUUUCCUUUCCUUUCCUUUCUUUAUGCACACUUGUCUGAUCCUUGUUCAUUAAAGGGUAUUGCUAAGAAGGGAUGUUUCUGUUUGUGUUAGAACUGCCAAAAUCAGUUUAAACAUAAAUUUCUAAUACUGUCCAAACUUGAUUUUUCCCCAACAUGAUGGGCACUAGCACUUGCUACUGCAAUUUCCAAAUAGAUUUUGAAAAAAAACAAAACCCAAAAAACUUUGACUGCCUUAGAAGGCAAAAGUACUGAUGCAUUGUUUGUACGCAGGGGUUUACCAGGGCAUCGAAAGAUCUCGAUUGCUGGAGAAACAAACAAACAAAACCACCAACAAAACAAAAAGAAAAAAGCUUUGAAAAAAAAAAUUGUUGGCACUUGUUGCCAGCCAUUCCAUUUGGGUUCACCACUUACCAGUAAAUCCCUGGCUGAGACGUUAUGAAAGUGAUAUUGCACUUAGGAAGUCAUUUUUAUAACCUGUCUUUAAUUUGGUCCUUUUGCUAAAAAUUGCAGUCACUGCUUACUUUAUUAUACCAUUGGGCGUAAGAGAAAUAUUUUCAAAUGGAGAAUGCUUAAAAUACCCAAACAAAAGCUCAAUUCAAAAUAUUAUUUUGGAUCAGCAUGAUAACUAUUUUUGGACUUGGUGGAUAUAUGCCUGUCAAAUUUGUGGGCGUAUAAACAAAACCAUAAAGCAAUUAAUUAAAUGGAUUUAUUUCUGAAAAUAAAACACAUGCCUCUGUACUUUAAAAAGACA
rnacentral:lncRNA from 1 species